GACGAACGCUGGCGGCGUGCUUAACACAUGCAAUUUGAACUGAAAGGCCCUUCUUUUGUUGGGUGCUCGAGUGGCGAACGGGUGCGUAACACGUGAGUAACCUGCCCUUGACUUUGGGAUAACUUCAGGAAACUUGGGCUACUACCGGAUAGGAGCUCCUGCUGCAUGGUGGGGGUUGGAAGGUUGCGGCGGUUGGGGAUGGACUCGCGGCUUAUCAGCUUGUUGGUGGGGUAGUGGCUUACCAAGGCUUUGACGGGUAGCCGGCAUGAGAGGGUGACCGGCCACAUUGGGCCUGAGAUACGGCCCAGACCGCGACGGGAGGCAGCAGUAGGAAAGAUUGCAAAAUGGGCGGGAGGAGGAGGGAGCAAAGCGGCGUGCGGGAUGACAGCCUUCGGGGUGUAAACCGCGUUCGCCUGUGAAGAAGAGGGAGUGACGGUAAUAGGUAAAGAAGCACCGGCUAAAUACGUG
rnacentral:rRNA from 1 species